UACAGAGACUGCGAGCGUUAUUCGGAUUCACUGGGCGUAAAGGGUGCGCAGGCGGCCGAGUGUGUGAGGCGUGAAAGCCCGGGGCUUAACCCCGGAAUUGCACCUCAAACUACACGGCUAGAGCAUUGGAGAGGGUAGCAGAAUUUAUGGUGUAGCAGUGAAAUGCGUAGAUAUCAUGAGGAAUACCAGAGGCGAAGGCGGCUACCUGGACAAUUGCUGACGCUCAGGCACGAAAGCGUGGGGAGCAAAAGGG
rnacentral:rRNA from 1 species